ACCGAAUGUAUUUAUUUAUCUUAAUUCUGCGUGUGUAAGAUUAUCAUAGUGACGCAAAGUGGCAAACACGCCUUCGAAGAAGCCGAAAAGCAACUAUAUUAGCUCCUCCAAAGUUUGCUCGGUGACAAUUCGAGAGCUACAGACAGAGCCUAACUGAUAUUUUGUCUAGUUCAGAGUGCUUCAAGUGUAUACCAUCAUGUUUUCAAGAUUCUUCAUAUUAGUGAGCACCUUGUUGGCUCUUGCAAUGGCAGCACCCGCGGCCAACAUCCUCCCUGCACCGAUAGCGACAGCUCAAAGCUCACAAUUCUUCGUGCGAAACUACAACGGGAUUGUGCCGCCACCUCCUUUCGUGGUACCUGCAGUCGCUGAACCAAUUCUACCUCUCGAUCCAGUUUAUCCCUUCUAGUUACCAGUCAGUCAUUCAUUCAUAAGUUAGUUUACACAACAAGGAUGUUUUUAGUAUGACGUAAUCAUCUGGGCCAAUUCUUUGUUUUUUUUUUUAUAGGCGAUGGGUCAGUUGCGCUUCUUACGAAGUCAUACAAUUAAGGCAGGAAACACUGUGCAUGGCAUCUUAAAAUGCUACAUCGAAUAUUGAUACUCGAUCUCUUGCCAUAUUAAGUCGUUUCCCUCUAUUCCUUCCUUUUCCAUACGGCAGCAAGAAAAUCUAAAAUUUUGGAUCGGAGAUCAAAAUGAGAAAGUAGUCUUUUGAGUUACAUUCACACGAGUCUACGAUAAAUUUAUGUAUGGCGUGAGCAUUCAAACUUUUCAUAUCAUAGUGGAUUAUUUAAAUGCCGGUAUCCGAUGGGGGAAAAAUGCGCUUAAAGGACAGAUGGAAUUUUACCUUUCAAGACAAAUUUGGUGGAGUCGAUGAAUGUAAUUUUACUCUGAAAAAUUAAUCCUGAGCCAAAAUGAGAAUUUUAUGAGUUUUAUACAAAUUGACACUACGACUACAUUCAUUUUCCACCACAUUCGUCCGAAUGAAUAUUAAUUAAUAAGACAUCUUCCAGGCUUUUGACGGUUGUUUUUUUUUCUCACUGAAAAUCAGAAAACACAUACUGAUGAUUGUCUAUAAAAUUUAAUAGUCCAUGAGAUGUUCUCUCUAAACGGUCAAACUAGAGCCCCUCACCCUCGUGUCUUCAUGGCGAGCUAUAAGAGCUUGCCUCCGGGAUGAGCUCGUGGUAUCAAAGGAUAUUAGAUUCAUUUGCAGUCGAAGUAGAAUAAUAUCUACAUUACCGAUUGUUAUUCUCAACGUUGAAAAAAUUACCGUUUUAAACGGAGUAAUUGUCAAGCGUACGGUGAAAUUGUCACAUUAUUUAAUUGAUAACUUAAACGGGUAGUAAUAGCAUUUCAUAUAACAUGUUACUUUAUCAUGUCAUCAAUUUUAUAAUAGAAAAAUUGAAUCGUGUCAGGGAUAUAAUGUAUAUAAAAAAGAAAUAAAUCAUUCUAAAAUGAAAACGAAAAUGUAGACGCUUUAUUUUCCUUUUCACCAAGCUGAUUUUCAUCAUCAAUUAGACACGCAUAAGUCAGUCAAAUUUUUGAAGAUGUCCUGAGCGUUAUAUAAAAUUAGUUUGACGUCCCAGCCUCAAUAAAACAAUUACACGCCACAAUCCGUUAACGAUUCAGUCAUCUAGUAUCAUUUAAAUCAGUUGUUAGGAUAAAAUAAAAUUAAGUCACUCAGUAUGAGGCAAGUGCCCACUAAUUUAUCAAUAUAAUCAGAUGUAGACGCUCCGACGGAGACCCUUCGAAACGCAGAGAUACAAGUUUAUAUACACUUGAGUUGAAAUAGUUGCUGGGUCUAAGAUGUUCGAUCUCUCAGGGAACAUUUAAGAGAAUUAAAGCAAACGUUUACAGAUGAAACGUCGACAUUUAAGCUUUUCAGAAAGCCAUUCAGAUAUUAUCCAUAAAUGUACCAUUGAACUUUUGAUUGCUGAGUAAAAGAUCAAAUUUUACAUAUCGACGGUGUAAGUUGGCAGUCACAUAACUCGUUUGCGGUGUCUGAAAAUCUCCGCCUCUAUAUUAUUUUUUAAAAGAGAACAAAUUGACAUCAUUCUUUGAAAUUUUUGCAGAAUUUUCUUCGCACAGAGAAGAAAAAUCACGGCAGUUUUGAAGAAUUGCCGUUGAGUAGUUUUAAAAAUAGUAAAGUUUUUUAGUAGUCAAAAAAUAAAGUAUGACAGGAAAACUGCGACGUCGCAAACCGAGUUAUGUGAUUGCCGACUUACACCGUCGAUAUACUCCCUCUAAGAAGGUGUUCGUAUGUUAGUUUUAUGAUCUAUGUUCUGACCAGCAAGUAAGUUUAUUUGAGAAUAGACUUCUUUAAUC
rnacentral:lncRNA from 1 species